UCAAGUGCCCCGCAUUUUGCGGGUCACACCCGGAUAAUCGGUCUAUAACCCGCAGACAGAAAUAGCUCCUGACGGGUGUUUUGAAUCUCCCGCAUUUCAGUAAGAUCUCGUUUUUGUUCGAGCUACCUCGGAUUUUUUCUUUGUUGCGUAGGAACACAAUUUGAGACACCGAACAGAUAAUCCAACAACAACCAAAAUGGCGUGUACGAAGGCUUGCACAGAUGAAUAUUUUUGAAGGAAUGAAAUACUGAUUGCUGUGAUUAUCAACCUUCCACCAAUGUUUUGAAGAUGGCAAAAACAGCUACAACAACUUACAAUGUAAAACAUUCAUGUAAAUGAAUGAAGUGUGCAUAGAAAUGCUUAUUAAAUGACACAUGUUGAUAAAUUU